AACGAACGCUGGCGGCGUGCUUAACACAUGCAAGUCGUACGAGAAAACCCCUUCGGGGGUGAGUAAAGUGGCAAACGGGUGAGUAAGGCAUAGGUAACCUGCCCCCAAACCCGGGAUAACAUCUUGAAAAGGGUGCUAAUACCGGAUAAACCACUCCUAAUCUGAGGAGUGGUAAAAGAGAGCCUCUGUAUAUCAAGCUUUCAUUUGGGGAGGGGCUUAUGUGUCAUUAGCUUGUUGGUAAGGUAAUGGCUUACCAAGGCUACGAUGACUAGCCGGCCUGAGAGGGUGUCCGGCCACACUGGGAUUGAGAUACGGCCCAGACUCCUACGGGAGGCAGCAGUGGGGAAUUUUGCGCAAUGGGGUAAACCCUGACGCAGCAACGCCGCGUGGAGGAUGAAGGCCUUCGGGUUGUAAACUCCUGUCAGAGGGGAAGAAAUGCAAGUGGGUUAAUAGCCUACUUGUUUGACGGUACCCUCAGAGGAAGCCACGGCUAACUCCGUG
rnacentral:rRNA from 1 species